rnacentral:rRNA from 1 species
CUCCUCCUGCUGCCAUUGGACCAAAAAAGGUGCGAGUGAUGCUGGGCUUUGGCCACCGCCACGUCCAUCAAGGGCAUGUACCACAUCAAGACGGGGAGAUCUCUUCGUCUAUCAGCUCAGGAGCUCGUCGAUUGCGACAAGAGCAACAACAGCUGCAACAAGGACUCCCCUCGGGCGACAUUCAGCUGGAUCAUGAAGAACGGUGGGAUCGCAACGAAUAGCGACUACCCCUUGGUCGCUCAACAUGACCAGUACAGGGAACAAAAGCUGGGGAUCCACGCCAUCACAAUCAUGGGGUACGUCGCAGUCGGCAAAAUGGAGUCCAAGUUCAUGACCGUCAUGGCGGCACAACCGAUGGUGGUCGGGCUCACUUUGGCCAAGCAACAUUCCUACAAGAACUACCGUGGAGGCAUCUUCGAGGGCCCUUGUGGCGACUAA